UCUGGCCCCUCGGGGUCCGAGUUGUAAUUUGUAGAGGAUGCUUUUGGUGAGGUGCCGCCCGAGUUCCCUGGAACGGGACGCCACAGAGGGUGAGAGCCCCGUCUGGCUGGCCACCGAGCCUCUGUAAAGCUCCUUCGACGAGUCGAGUAGUUUGGGAAUGCUGCUCAAAAUGGGAGGUAUAUGUCUUCUAAAGCUAAAUAUUGGCCAGAGACCGAUAGCGCACAAGUAGAGUGAUCGAAAGAUGAAAAGCACCUUGAAAAGAGGGUUAAAUAGUACGUGAAAUUGUUGAAAGGGAAGCGCUUGUGACCAGACUUGGGCGCGGCGGAUCAUCCGGGGUUCUCUCCGGUGCACUUCGCCGCGUCUAGGCCAGCAUCAGUUCGUCGCGGGGGAAAAAGGCUUCGGGAACGUGGCUCCUCCGGGAGUGUUAUAGCCCGUUGCAUAAUACCCUGCGGUGGACUGAGGACCGCGCAUCUGCAAGGAUGCUGGCGUAAUGGUCACCAGCGACCCGUCUUGAAACACGGACCAAGGAGUCGUCUUCGUAUGCGAGUGUUCGGGUGUCAAACCCCUACGCGUAAUGAAAGUGAACGCAGGUGAGAGCUU
rnacentral:rRNA from 1 species